UGCUCCUGAAUUCAGCGGCGGACGGGUGAGUAAUGCCUAGGAAUCUGCCUGGUAGUGGGGGACAACGUUUCGAAAGGAACGCUAAUACCGCAUACGUCCUACGGGAGAAAGCAGGGGACCUUCGGGCCUUGCGCUAUCAGAUGAGCCUAGGUCGGAUUAGCUAGUUGGUGAGGUAAUGGCUCACCAAGGCGACGAUCCGUAACUGGUCUGAGAGGAUGAUCAGUCACACUGGAACUGAGACACGGUCCAGACUCCUACGGGAGGCAGCAGUGGGGAAUAUUGGACAAUGGGCGAAAGCCUGAUCCAGCCAUGCCGCGUGUGUGAAGAAGGUCUUCGGAUUGUAAAGCACUUUAAGUUGGGAGGAAGGGUUGUAGAUUAAUACUCUGCAAUUUUGACGUUACCGACAGAAUAAGCACCGGCUAACUCUGUGCCAGCAGCCGCGGUAAUACAGAGGGUGCAAGCGUUAAUCGGAAUUACUGGGCGUAAAGCGCGCGUAGGUGGUUCGUUAAGUUGGAUGUGAAAUCCCCGGGCUCAACCUGGGAACUUGCAUUUCAAAAACUGUCGAGCUAGAGUUAUGGUAGAGGGGUGGUGGAAUUUCCCUGUGUAGCGGUGAAAUGCG
rnacentral:rRNA from 1 species